rnacentral:rRNA from 1 species
UGGGGAAUAUUGGACAAUGGGCGCAAGCCUGAUCCAGCAAUGCCGCGUGUGUGAAGAAGGCCUUCGGGUUGUAAAGCACUUUUAUCAGGAGCGAAACGCUGUCGGCUAAUACCCGGCGGAACUGACGGUACCUGAGGAAUAAGCACCGGCUAACUUCGUGCCAGCAGCCGCGGUAAUACGAAGGGUGCAAGCGUUAAUCGGAAUUACUGGGCGUAAAGCGUGCGUAGGCGGUUUCUUAAGUCUGCUGUGAAAUCCCCGGGCUCAACCUGGGAAUGGCAGUGGAUACUGGGAGGCUAGAGUGUGUCAGAGGGUGGUGGAAUUCCCGGUGUAGCGGUGAAAUGCGUAGAGAUCGGGAGGAACAUCAGUGGCGAAGGCGGCCACCUGGGACAACACUGACGCUGAGGCACGAAAGCGUGGGGAGCAAACAGGAUUAGAUACCCUGGUAGUCCACGCCCUAAACGAUGCGAACUGGAUGUUGGUCUCAGCUCGGAGAUCAGUGUCGAAGCUAACGCGUUAAGUUCGCCGCCUGGGGAGUACGGUCGCAAGACUGAAACUCAAA